AGUUUUAUUUCCGGAUAGCCCUUUAAGCUCCCGUUUUAGUAUAAUAUAACUCUUUUAAGGAUUAUAACUUGCACUUCCAAUAUUUCGACAUGGACAAAACAGCCUCAAGUCAACGUUGUAAGUGCUCCGUCACCAUGAUGUGUCACUGUGGUACGAAAGGAUUGGGAUCAAGUUAUGCGGAUUGUUGAGAGCAAUAUGAUGAGGGAAGGCAGGAAAGAGUCUUAUUGUCUGUAUGUACUCAAAAUGGUGUUCGAGAGGUGGCGAAUAAGGAUUUGCUUGCAGCAUUGAAGAACGAUAAUAUGCAAAGAACAAAAAGAAAGGUUCUCUUAACAUACAUGUAGAAAGUAAAGAAAAAAUGAAGUUCACACUACAGCUGACAAUCUGGAUGUGUUUCCUUUGUUAUUUGAACAUUAUUUAUUUUAACUUACAUAACAAGUAUGCACUACAAUAAUGAAUAUCUAUAUUAAUAGUAAUGAUAUUCCAUUAAACAUGGAUAUGGAAAAAAUAUUCUUUGACAAUGCAAGAUAAGAUAAAUCCAGACAUAGUCAGAGUCUUCAGUUAACUUGGAUGUGUUCCAUUUGUUUCAUCCACAUACUUGAAAUUUGUCUUGUAACUACAUGUAUUUUUAUGAUGUUAAGUGGUGAGUAAUCAACCUUUAUCAUAACAUUUUCUUAUUUGGGGAUAGUAUGUAUUUAUGUUGACACUAUGUGUACCUUCAUUCUCUUCAUUUUUCUGUUCAAAACAAGACCAAAUGUGUCAUUUUAGUUUAACCAUUUUAAACUGUAUUUAUUAUACUCUUCAUUGAAUACCCAUUCGUAUAUUAUCAAACAUUUUAACAAAUUUAAAUCAUUUUAGUUUAACCAUUUUAAACUGUAUUUAUUAUACUCUUCAUUGAAUACCCAUUCGUAUAUUAUCAAACAUUUUAACAAAUUUAAAUGUGUUUGUUAUUUUGAUUAUAUUGUAUUGGUGUCAUAGGGUACAUGUACAUGUCCAUUCCUAGCCUUCAAGAUAAAACAGAUAUAUUCUUUGUUGUAAAAUGUGUUCUUUAUGCAUAAACAUGUAGAGUGGCUACAGAGAACUCAACAUUUUUCUUACAAAAUGCAGGUUUCCCUGCAUGUGAUUGCUACAUUCAGUGUACCUCAUGUUAUAUAAUACAUUGUAUA